UACGUAGGGACCAAGCGUUGUUCGGAUUUACUGGGCUUAAAGCGCGUGUAGGCGGGUCGUUAAGUGUCCGAGUGAAAUCCCACGGCUCAACCGUGGAACUGCCGGGCAUACUGGCGAUCUUGAGGCAUUCAGGGGCGAGCGGAACAAAUGGUGGAGCGGUGAAAUGCGUAGAUAUCAUUUGGAACGCCAAUGGUGAAAACAGCUCGCUGGGAAUGAUCUGACGCUGAGACGCGAAAGCCAGGGGAGCGAACGGG
rnacentral:rRNA from 1 species